CAAAGAGAACAAGUAUUGAAGGGGGCAUAAAGAACUAUGGGAGAAGCAUCCAUUUGACAAGCUCAAAGUCAUUGGUUCGCACUACCGUGGUUAUAUCAAAGAUGCAAUGGGAAAGAAAGUUAGCUUGUUCACCAUCUUGACUGCAUUUUCAUUGUUUCUUAUUAGGCCUGAGAUGUAGAUAUACUGAAAGUUGUACACUGCAGGGGUCUAUACCCACAAACCAAGGAAGGCAACUCAGAAGUUUUUCCCUGCCAAUAACCAAGAUUCACAAGGAUAGGAGGGCAGAGAUAUCAUGCUGCCAUGGAAUUGGUCCAUUUGUCAUUGCCUUGCUGCUUUCAUGUUCCCUGAUAUUCAGUAGCCAUAUACUUUUAGGACUUAGGAUGUGAUUUCACAUGCGUUGCUGAUCAUAGUUGAUGCUUUUGUCGGUUCAGGGUGAGCUAUUUUGUGUACAAUUGCUAUUGGCCGUGUAAUGACUGGCUAUGCAUGGCUCUGUUUUAUUGAGCUUAGAUGAAAAUUUGAUGGACCACCUAAAUUCA